ACAAUUUAGUGCCUCCAAACCCAGCAACGAGCAGCCAAGGGGAACUGAUGCAAUGCUGAGGAAGAGAAGAAAAGAUGAGAUGCAGUGAAAGGAGUCAGGGAGGUGGGGGCGAGGAGGAGCCAUCCCCAGCAGCAGCCCCUUGGCUAUUGUUCAGCACCAGGGAUCCUUGAUUUGCAGCAGGCGGACAUUACAAGUCACGGCUCUUACCCAGUUAUGUCAUCUAAAUUUACUGACGUUAAAUAAAUGCUAACUUUUCAUUUGCUUCAAAUUAAAAAAAUAAUGCGUGCCUUUAUUGUCUUUCUCUGCUAAGCCAAGCCUGAGGCUUGUGCCAGCUUUUUCCAUGUAGAAAUGUUAGAUGAAAUUCCAGUGCCAUCAAAUGAGACCUUUAUUCUUCCACCUGCACAUUAUGACUCUAAUAAACACGUUAUCAGCUCAUGAAAAUGAUGGCAAACAGGUGACUGAAGGAUUUGAUAAGUCAGCAGCAAAGAUUAACAGUUCUUUUCAGAGAAAGCUGUGAGAGGUUCCCCUAUUUAAAACAAUUGUGGCAUGUGAAUUUGCAGCACUUAAAUCAUUAUCGGCAAUUAGUCCUUGUCAAAAAGGUUGCAGCUGGCUUCAAUUACAGAGGAAGGGACUCCGGGAAGCAAAGAUGCCUAGAGCCCACCAAAGCCAUAGUGGGACCAUGUCCUCAAGGCUUCAUAUAUUUCGAUAUAGCCAGUGAGGCUUGAUCCUACCUGGACGUGAAAGACACCUGGGCAGUUUUUGAAUAAAGCCUACCUAGGCCCACACCAUU